UUUGACAUUUCCAUUGACAGAAAUGGAAAUAAUGUAGAAGAAGCAGUGGCAUAUAACAUUUAUCGCAUGGAGUUAUCCUACGUGGAUUGUCCUGGCAGCAAGUUGGCUGUGGCGAGAUCGCUGAGUUGGCCAUGGUGAGUUGGCCAUGGCGAGAUAGGAGCAGUGAGUUAGCCACAGUAAGUUGUCGUAGACACUUCUGGCUUUGCCCUGUUUGACAUUCUGACCCUCCCUUCCUUCCUUUCAUCCCUCCCUCCCUCCUCCCCUAAUCCAGCUCCAUUCUAAAUUGUUUACUAAGAGAUUGAAUAGGAAAAUUCAUGUAGGAUAAGAAUAAGAAUAAGCAACACAAAAAUGCUUAUUAAGGAGCAAUUAGCUUUACAUUGAGUAUUGAUAUGGAUAUUCUUCAAUUAAGGCAACUUGAUUAGAUCAUUGAAGAAACACAGAUCACUUACGUCAGUUGGACAUGUGGCUGUCCCCAGCUGGAUGAAAGCAUUUGUGAAUGUUGGGGCAGUUUUUGUACCCGACUGGGGAAAAUGUUCAGUUGUGCUGACUGCAAUGAAGCUAUGGCACUCCGGAGCACGUACCAAUUUAAAGUCUGGAACUCAACCCCUUCAUACAGACUCAGAUAAUAUUUCACUGAUACUAGUUGCCAGCAACCUGCUUCAGCUUGAGGCCGCUGCAGUCUUGCCCAAAGUUGUCCAGACCGCUUGCUAUAGUCUAUGCCUGCUCUGCUGACACAUUAAAUUACAUCACUGAAAUUUUGCCACACGUGCAAGUCUGCCAAAAUCCUAAAAGCACAGCUGUUGGAACAAAUAAUCUUGCAUUCCUGUCUUGUUUGCUGACCUGUCUCAAGGCUUCCAUACUUGGUGCUGGACUUUGCUUCCCCACAAUCAACACCAAUGUUAGAUGAUCUGUGCUCUAAUUUGGGCUGCUGCCUCAGCUUUGUUACUGCAAGGUUGGCGUAGGGCGGGUAAAGAAGAAAAAUCUUGCAAAUCUUUUUAAAACUAGUCUCCCCAAAGGUUCACCAAACUCCAUUGUAGAAUUGUGUAGAACCACACAGUAUCUCUCAUUAAGAUUUCUGUGUAAUUCAGAUUUUGCUCAGUGUUGCCUAAAAAUAAAUUCCCUGAUCUGUGCUUUGAUAGGAACUAAAUAUUUAUAUCAGGAAUAUCACUAUUCCUGCUAGCAGUUAUGCUGCAUAAAUAUGAUUUCAAUGAUUUCCUUAUAUGUAAAAUGUGUUUGUUGUUUACCAAAAUUCCGGGUGCCCAUGGGGAGGCUGCCACGCUUCAAUAAAUAGAAGCAUAUUUUCUGGAGCUGCUGGACAAGCUACAAGGAUCAAGUUUCAUUUCUGACUUGAGGGGAAGCUUGUUCCAUAUUUCUGAACAAUCAUUGACAUCCUUCCUUCUGGGUCAUUGAUUCCAGGCUGAUAAAUAGCAGUGCUUCAGUAAAACAUGCCUUAAUAGAAUUUUGACUCCAAAAAACAAAAUUAUAAAAAAACCCUGACAUAAACUCAAAGGUCAUCUUACAAAAUCCAAAGGUCACUUUCCUCUUCAUCAAAGAUCAGGAGGCCUGAUCAAAUGCUUCCGGCAAGGUUUCACUUUGAACCCUGUGAUCAGGAUGGGCUGUUCGCUUUUUCAUUCCUAAACAAUCAGCCAUUUUAAACUCUCAAGCUGUCAUUUCCAAGCUAAACCUGCAAAAGUUCACAAUAAUAUGAUACAAAGAGGCUACUAAGGGAAGAAAAUGCUUGCCUAGUGACCAUAUAGUAGUCUCUGACUGAAUGACAGAAACUUUAAGCUGUAAGCCUUGUAAUAACAUUCUUCAAAUACCAAACAUAGCAUUUUGUUUGAAGGAUUGGUUUUAGAAAGGCUCUUCAUAGUUUCAGCUUUGAUCGCCAUGUCUUUUUUUUAAAAUCACCAGGCUACCUCAGAAUUCCCUAUGUAUUAUAUGCUUUCUAAUUCUAUCCUAUCUCCUUCAGAGGGCCUUGUACCAUUCCAUGAGCCCAAGUAGAUCCUUGGGCCAACUGCUGCUGCUGCUGUUGACAACUUCUCUGCUCUGUUUAUUGUUCAUCUCUUUCACAGAGCUACACUCAUGAAUCAAAGGCAUAGUCCGUGCUUCUUGCUGUACCUUGAAACCACAGCUCUAAUAGCUCAGGAGUUCAUCAAUUGAAUGAGGAAAACCACCUAAGAUGAGUAGCACCUAUGAUGCAGGAGACAAACCAUCUGAAUAUCAAAAAUCAAAGCCCACUGUUUCACCUUACAAAAAAAUAGGAAUUUCCCCCCAACAUGAUUCCAGAUGAACAUCAGUAAUCACUGUUGAUAAACUAAGCUCUUUAUAACAAAAAUAGCAGAAAUGGAUAGUUUAACACUGAAGAUUAAAGAAAAAGAAGACACACAAUACUUCCAAAUUUGGGACUUGUUUUAUCAGAGGAGGAUUAUUUUUGAAGUUCGGCCUUUUGAUUUUGAAACAAUCAACAAGUUCCUGAUGCUCCCUGAUACUCAAAAGAGAGAGAUUAUGUUUUCUUAUUUGGGAUCUGAAUGGGAUAUCAUGUCUGAAUACAGAGGUCAAGCAUUCUUCUUAGACAAAAGCUUGCAAAGAGAAUUCAAGAGUUCCUCUUCUGCUGUCUUAGCAUUUAAACACCCCAAUGGUUUUCAAGCCUUUUCCCACAGUGCUUGGAGGGAAAGGGGAAAAAAAGUGUAAGAAUUACACACAUGUGCAAGAUAGUUGGCUCUGGCAGUUGGAAAGUUUUCCUCAUGAAGUCGGAGGCCUUGGCUGAGAACAAAUGCAGUGAGACUGCAAAGUUGUGGGAGGCAGCCGGCUAGUUAUAGCUGUGGGUCUCCUCACACUGCAAACUGAACUGCAGAUCUGUCGAAAAGAAGUGCUGGAUUUAAAGAUUAAUUCUGAAGCAAGAACAAAGGGGGAGAGAAAUUGACCAACCAACUGCAUUGAUUUUGUAAGUGAUGUUCUUAGAUUUGCAUAUCUUUUUUUCUUUUAAGAAUUUUAAGAAUUCAGGUGACUCCAAAAAUGGGAGGGUAGAAAGAAAACGCUAAGGAGAUUCUGAUCUGCACAAAAACAGCAACAACCUUAGAUGGUAGUGCAGCCAGGAUCUCUGAUGGUUCUCUGUUAAGGUGGAUGUUUUGUAACUGGAAACACCCAUCAUGGCAAUCGCUCUGUGAGUGUGCCUAUACUAAAUUCUCCCACAUCCGAACAGUCCAGAAAGAAAGAGAGUGCUGUGCUAAGCCAUCACAUGGUUUCUGUUUACUUGAGUGUCAUAUGUGAACCCAGCUUUUAUGGUCUGCAAAUUUGGUUAAUGGCUCUGCAUGGUGGAUGAACCCAAUCUUGUGACUGCUCACGACAGCAAAUUAUUGUUCAGUUUGACAUGUUAACUUAUCAGGGCCUCUCUUCUGGGACUAUGUCAGCUGAAGAAUAGAAAACAAAAUAACAUAGAAAAUAUUUUUCUUAAUGUUCAAAUGAAAAAUAAAUAUAUCUAUUCAAAUGCCAGAAGCAUCCAAUUAGGUGCGUGAUUUGCCUUGAUCUCUUUAUUCCAAACAUGACAGCAACCUUCCACAUUGUUAAAUUAUGAGCUAAUUUGGCAAGGUGCCAACGAUUCAUAGUAUACUGUAUCAUAUUUAAAUAUAUUAAUAAAGAGAUCUUUGGUAAUUAUU